CUUGUCGGGUAAAUUAUUGCCCCAAUAUUUCUGCAAAGAAAUAACGAAAAACCAACUCAUAUCGGGGAAACCUUACUGUAAUUUGGUCAUUACAGAUGGCAAUCCCGAGGGAAGUUUUUAAAAUUUAUAUUUAUAUCUUUUAAAUAACCCCGUAACGACUGAUCCGAAAGGUGAGGCGCGAUUUUUCAAAUUGCGCAAAACGUUGGUGGCUUACUCUUUUAACCUUGGCUUUUCAAAGUUUAGGAUUAAAAGAAGCAAUUAUCUAUGGAGGCUAAAUGCAA
rnacentral:autocatalytically_spliced_intron from 1 species